UGACCUACAACAAUGUGCAUGCUUUAUU
rnacentral:sRNA from 1 species